rnacentral:rRNA from 1 species
UACGUAGGCAGCGAGCGUUGUUCGGAAUUACUGGGCGUAAAGAGUGUGUAGGCGGUGCUCCCAGUCUGUUGUGAAAUCUCCCGGCUUAACUGGGAGGGUGCAGCGGAAACUAGAGUGCUAGAGGGUGGGAGAGGUAAGCGGAAUUCCUGGUGUAGCGGUGAAGUGCGUAGAUAUCAGGAGGAACACCUGUGGUGUAGACAGCUUACUGGACCACUUCUGACGCUGAGACACGAAAGCGUGGGUAGCAAACAGG